rnacentral:rRNA from 1 species
CGCGUAGGCGGCCGUUUAAGUCAGAUGUGAAAGCCCGGGGCUCAACCCCGGAAGUGCAUUUGAAACUGGACGGCUUGAGUAUGGGAGAGGGAAGUGGAAUUCCUGGUGUAGAGGUGAAAUUCGUAGAUAUCAGGAGGAACACCGGUGGCGAAGGCGACUUCCUGGACCAAUACUGACGCUGAGGCGCGAAGGCGUGGGGAGCAAACA